GCUUCCAGACCGGAAAGUAGUGGGGAAAAGGUAGAGGAUUACAAUUUUAAACCGGGGAAACCGAGUAUGCCCAGGUAUACGCCAAACAGGGUCCCGAGCUUGGAUCCAUUAGGAAGGGCCGACCAGGGUGGUGGAAUUCGCCUUUCUACAGGUUGAUCCCCCAGGCAACACACCUUUCCGCGGGGGGGACAACGGGCAAUCACUUCCGCAUGUUCAUUGGGCAGCAGCAAGGCAUCGAGAGGCGCGAUCGCAUCGGCGUCGUCGGGCAGCUCUUCACCGGCGUUGCGCCACACCGGCGCCGGCAGUAAAGCGGGCGCGUAAGGACCCGCAUCGUUGGUCAAUUCUGAUUGCAAUGCCCAGCCAUCGCGGAGCGCAAUUGGCUUCGCCGGACGGUCCGACGCAACGGCAACAUCCUCCGCGAGCGUGCGACCGCAAGCCGCGAUGAGAUCGGCAUCGCGCGGCUCAGUCGCGUUGGUUUGCGCGUCGAUAACAGCAAAAGCCUUGUCGAGCGGAGUGAGCUGCGCAAUGCGCUGGGGCUGUUGAACCAUCGCGCGUUAUUGGCGAAGCAUCUUGGACGGGUCAAGCAAGUCCCGCACGCACCAGAUCGGCCACGGCGCGGCUUAAAACUUGACGCACCGGCCGGUGUGUUGCUCAUAGCCCGAGGCUAUCGAUAUGGUGGAAAAGACCAUCAAUCUGCGCGGCCUCAAAUGCCCGCUCCCCGCUUUGCGGACGCGAAAGACGCUGUCCGCCAUGGCGCCCGGUGAUGUGCUGAUCGUCGAAUGCACCGAUCCUCUGUCGACGAUCGACAUUCCGAACUUGCUGCGCGAGACGGGCGAUGUCCUCGAACAGACGCCGCGAAGGCGAAAUU
rnacentral:rRNA from 1 species